AGCUUAGUGGUAUAGCUUGGUUAUUAUACCCGAGUGAAUGCUCUGGGAGGUCGUAGGUUUAAAUCCCAUCUAGGCUU